AUGGUUAUGUGAUGUUUGCUAUAACCUUCUGCUAGGUUUCGAUGUCUUCUGAGGUUAAAACAAUUCGAAAAAAGAAAAUUGAAAUAGGUGCUUUUAACCUUACUGUUAAACAAACGAUAUCAACUUCAUGCAGGGAUCAGUAUGCUGUUAUGAGGUAUUUUGCCUGUAUUUAAAGAGCAUUAAAAUACAUAUACCAUUUCUUUUCGUGUGUAAUAUUACAACUGACAUGUUUAUACAUUGCUAUCAAGUGUUGACUGUGAUAAACCAUGUUUUCUAUACCAGGUGGGUGGAGCCCAGCCAGAACUGUGUCCUCUUGGUGAUGACCACACCUUACAGCAGUACAUGGACAGAUGGACAGUCCUAGUGACCAGCCUUAGACAACAGCUUCUACACAACCAGUACUCAAUGUUGUGUUUGGGUAGAAAUGCGAGUGGUACCACCAGUCACCUAAUCAAACUUUCCCCUCACAGACAAAACGCUCAAGCGGACAGUGCCUGCAGUUUACGGCAAAGCUCUCAAUUGUAGCCCUACAACCUUCAGAUACUGCCGAUGACGUAGAUCUAGUGCACCGGGCCAGUUUUCUAGCCAUGUGGAAUUCACAUCUCCAGCCGAACUAGAGCCAGGAUUAAUAUCAGACUCCUUUACAAACCUCCUUCUUGGGUGGAUGGAUUCAGAGAUGACCCCAGAGAUGCGGCCAUGACUGUAGCACAUGGACGUUAUAGAUAUUGACUGUAAAGAAAUGAUGAUAGCAGAAAAAAACGAAACUAUUUUGAUAUGGUUUCUGGUGUAAAAUCAACAGACAGUGUUCAUAAGUGUUUGAAAGUUCAUUAAGUGUUUGUGGGAAAAUAGUGUUAAAGCUGAAAUCUCUUCUGCAAAUUCAUAAUUAAGUGGUGAACUGGAUAAAAUUUACAUAAAACAAAGAAGAGAAUCACAUUGUGAGCCGACACCUUUUCAUAGAUGCCUCUGCCCUCUGCGCAUGCGUUAAGUAACUAAGAUUGACAGUUAAGGGUGCCGUUUUCUGAAGGCAGUUGCAGCGUAUGUCAUGAACCCGAAUUUGAAAAUAGAUGUUUAUCAGCUAUCAAAUUGUAUUGACAUCUAUUCAGUGCACAAUUUAAAUAUUUACAUGACAAUAAUCAAAUAUCUCAGUUAUGUUUCUUCCCGUGAAAUGCUGUUUAUAAUUAACAACCAAUUUAACUAAUUUAGUACCAAAAAUCUUUUGUUGAUCAUUAUGAAUACAAAAACUAAACAAGGUCGUCCCAGUUAAGUUCUGUACUAUGCAAGCAUACCUAGGUAAUUCUAAUAAACUAAAUGUCAACAAACAUUAAUCAAUUUUAUUUGCUUUUAUAAAAUAUUCAAAAAGACGCAACAAUUUACCAUUACCUGACACUCUUUCAAUAAAACUAACGCCUGGGCGGUUUAACUUUCGCGCCAAAAUACGACAUGACUACAUAAAGGGCAGAGCUAGUUGUUCAACUUAGUGCAAACACCAAAUGAGUUAGCGCUUGCUCCAUUUUCUGUAGAUCGCCAAAAUGAACUACCACUUAUCUUUUAAUAUAAUAUAUGAAUUCACUUACCAAAAAUGCAUUUAUAGAUGAGUGGUAACACGAAUCUUAUCUAGUAAUCAGUUAUUAUGUUACUUAUUAAGUGGAAUUCGUGAACCAUAUAUAGUUACCUGUUUCACAGCUAAAAGAAGAGAACAGGUGGCAGUUCUGGACACUUCAAGCUAAUUUUUAGUCUUAUGAUAAUUAUCUUAACCAAAAAUGUUUAUGGGAAUAUUAACUUAAUUUAAGUGGUUAACACGAAACAAUUUGCGAAUGUUAACAUGUUAUCUUACGCCAGUUAUAUGCCACCAUAGAUAAUGAAAUAAUUUUUUAUUUAAACAAGAAUUAUCACCAGGAAUGUAACGAAUGCUAUUAGUAUUUGUUUUUGAGCCUAUAUAUAGAAACCUAGAAUAGAAAUCAUAGUAUGACAAAAACUGAUUUAUAAUGUAAAAGAGAAUGAUGAAGUAAAAUAACUAGCACCCCCCCCACUUUUAGCUGAUUAAAAAAGAUACUAGUGUGCUUUUGGUUGUUAAAGUUGAUAUCCCAGUUUGCUUCAAAUUUAAAGUCAGAAGAACCCUCAAAAGAGCUUCUAAAAAGCCAGUUUUUCUUCUACGGCAGUGUGCUUUUGACCCCAAAAGUGCCCCAAGAACCCAUGGCCGAAAUGGUUUCAGCCCUCCAGCUGCCAGGUCAAUCACAUCCUUGAAGUAACCAGUUAUUGAUCGGAGGCGGAUAUUUAGCUCAAGUUCACCACGACCGUCAAAUAUGUUUAACUCACUGACAUCAAAAUGGACAGGGCGAAAAUACUGGUCAUGGCCAACCUGCCUUACCAAGUUCGAGGUCCCUUCGCCCCAGCGUUCUUAAACUCUUGAUUGAAAAUAGAUUUGUAGCUCAAGGUCACCACGAACUUUGAGCCACUGACCUCAAAAUCGACAACUUUAAACGUUAUCAGGAUGUGGUAUUUCGAAAUCCUUCAUGGGUUUACAAGAGUUGUUACAAGCCGGAACGAACUGUAGACAACGGACCGGAUAAGGUGGUGACCUUUCAGAGAGCAUAGUUAUAUACGCUUACAUUAUAACCUUUGCAAUGGGACAUGAAUGGAAGCCGAUUUACAGACGGCGUUGUUUGAGUAUUGUCCCUUUUAACAUUCAUGCUGAAUGCAUGUCUACAUACUCAAGAUCUGAUAUAAACGCUAUUGUUCAUUGACUCCAAACAAAAUGACUUUUAAAGCCUCAAUUAUACUCUACUAUUAUGUGUUAAAUGGUCUUGUAAUAAAACACGGUAAUGAAAUUGUUUGACAAAAUGAUCAUUUGUUUUCGCAUGCACUAGUUUGAACUAACCCUUGCUACCGAUGUUGAGUGUAAAUUUGUUUCUUUAAAGUGCUUUAUGAUCUUAUUAACUUCCCUAUUUAUUGCUACUUCAACAUUGACAGUUCAUACACAUGAUUUUAUUAGAUUUGUAUUGCAUUAAGAGGCUUACAGUAAACUUCCUGUUUGCUUUCAUUUGUAAUAAACAAAAUCCAAUGAUUCAACUUAGUUACAUAUAUAUAUAUAUUGGCACCAUGGUCGUAGCUGAUAAUUUCAUGAUUUAAUGAUCGGUUUAAUGCCUUAGGAAGAGUUUCAGUCAAUAGUACAAUUAAGAUAUAAUAUAUAUACGUGUUUAUCUAACUAUACUUUUCAUAUGAAUAUAUAGUUAAUUGCGUGUUUUUUAACAGAGAUAUUCAUCAUGUUUAUAACCAGGAUUGUUUUGAACAAACCACCAUAACAUUAUAUGGAACAACAAGGCAGUAAGAUUGCUAUAUAUUUUCUUAAGAAUGAUUGGUUUCAUGAAUUGAUAGAAUGCAAUUAUAAGUGGAAGUACAAUGCAUGGUCAUGUUUCACAUGGCACAUUCCAAUUGCUUGUGUAUGUUAAUUUAAUGUUGUCCGGUUAGCGCAGUGGUUAGCGCACUCGCUUCUCACCUAGGCGACCCGGGUUCGAUUCCCGGCUUGGGCGCAUGUGAGUUUGGUCAGUGGUCACCAAGUUGGACAAGUGGGUUUCCUCUGGGUACUCUGGUUUCCCCCACAACACAAGACCACACUCUCACGUAAAAUCGUGCCAACGAGAGUGAUUAAUAUAAUUGGUAAUAACUUGUUUCACAAUCGUUGUAAAAUAAAUAUGUUUAAACUAAUGUCUGCAUUUUGUUGUGAAUUAGCUUACGGAUAUUUUUUAUUUAUUUGUAUGAUUUGGAUGUAUAUGUUUUGAAUCAAAUUAGGAUCCAAUUAUGUUCAAUGUUACAUAUUUAAAUAAAAUUAGAAAUACUU